rnacentral:rRNA from 1 species
UACGGAGGGGGCUAGCGUUGUUCGGAAUUACUGGGCGUAAAGCGCGCGUAGGCGGCUUUGUAAGUUAGAGGUGAAAGCCCGGAGCUUAACUCCGGAACUGCCUUUAAGACUGCAUCGCUAGAAUCGUGGAGAGGUGAGUGGAAUUCCGAGUGUAGAGGUGAAAUUCGUAGAUAUUCGCAAGAACACCAGUGGCGAAGGCGGCUCACUGGCCCGAUACUGACGCUGAGGUGCGAAAGCGUGGGGAGCAAACAGG